ACCCACCUGUGCCAGCCAGACUCCAGGGCAGGAUCAGCAGUCCCAGGAGUUUUCUGGCUGUUCUGCAGGGGCCUCUUCCAGCAAGAUUGACCAGGACCCAGAGGGGCCCAGCUGUGGGGAGGAAGCCCAGUCCUGUGUCCCCUCAAGAGGACCCUACCGUG
rnacentral:lncRNA from 1 species